AGCUCCAAUAGCGUAUAUUAAAGUUGUUGCAGUUAAAAAGCUCGUAGUUGGAUGUAUGACAAGACCGGCUGGUCUGUCGCAAGACAGUACUGGGCGUGUCGCGUCACGAUGCUGGGGAACUGCUCACAAGGCAGGGAACCAGGGAUUACUUUGAAGAAAUUAGAGUGUUUAAAGCAGGCGAUUGCUUGAAUACAUUAGCAUGGAAUAAUGAGAUAGGACUGUGGUCUUAUUUUGUUGGUUUGAGGGCCGUAGUAAUGAUUAAUAGGGAUAGUUGGGGGCAUUUGUAUUCAGUAGUCAGAGGUGAAAUUCUUGGAUUUACUGAAGACAAACUAAUGUGAAAGCAUUUGCCAAGGAUGUUUUCA
rnacentral:rRNA from 1 species